UACGGAGGGUGCAAACGUUGCUCGGAAUCAUUGGGCGUAAAGCGCACGUAGGUGGUUUGUUAAGUCGGGUGUGAAAGCCCCCGGCUCAACUGGGGAGGGUCAUUCGAUACUGUUCGACUCGAAGGCAGGAGAGGGAAGUGGAAUUCCGGGUGUAGUGGUGAAAUGCGUAGAUAUCCGGAGGAACACCAGUGGCGAAGGCGACUUUCUGGCCUGUUCUUGACGCUGAGGCGCGAAAGCUAGGGGAGCAAACGGG
rnacentral:rRNA from 1 species